GAGUGCGAUCAUACCAACACUAAAGCACUGGAUCCCAUCAGAACUUUGAUGUUAAGCAUGCUUGGGCGAGAGUAGUACUAGGAUUGGUGACCCCAUGGGAAGUCCUCUUGUUGCACUCC
rnacentral:rRNA from 15 species